rnacentral:tRNA from 1 species
AGAUCCGUAGCUCAGUUGGUUAGAGCGCUACACUGAUAAUGUAGAGGUCACCAGUUCAACUCUGGUCGGGUCUACAA